rnacentral:rRNA from 1 species
AUUGAACGCUGGCGGCAUGCUUUACACAUGCAAGUCGAACGGUAACAGGCCGCAAGGUGCUGACGAGUGGCGAACGGGUGAGUAAUGCAUCGGAACGUGCCCAGUCGUGGGGGAUAACGCAGCGAAAGCUGCGCUAAUACCGCAUACGAUCUAUGGAUGAAAGCGGGGGACCGAAAGGCCUCGCGCGAUUGGAGCGGCCGAUGUCAGAUUAGGUAGUUGGUGGGGUAAAGGCCUACCAAGCCAACGAUCUGUAGCUGGUCUGAGAGGACGACCAGCCACACUGGGACUGAGACACGGCCCAGACUCCUACGGGAGGCAGCAGUGGGGAAUUUUGGAAAAUGGGCGCAAGCCUGAUCCAGCAAUGCCGCGUGCAGGAAGAAGGCCUUCGGGUUGUAAACUGCUUUUGUACGGAACGAAACGGCUCGGGUUAAUACCCUGGGCUAAUGACGGUACCGUAAGAAUAAGCACCGGCUAACUACGUGCCAGCAGCCGCAGUAACAC